GACGAACGCCGGCGGCGUGCUUAACACAUGCAAGUCGAACGGUAAGGCCCUUCGGGGUACACGAGUGGCGAACGGGUGAGUAACACGUGGGUGAUCUGCCCUGCACUUCGGGAUAAGCCUGGGAAACUGGGUCUAAUACCGGAUAGGACCACUGCCUGCAUGGGUGGUGGUGGAAAGCUUUUGCGGUGUGGGAUGGGCCCGCGGCCUAUCAGCUUGUUGGUGGGGGGAUGGCCUACCAAGGCGCCGACGGGUAGCCGGCCUGAGAGGGUGACCGGCCACACUGGGACUGAGAUACGGCCCAGACUCCUACGGGAGGCAGCAGUGGGGAAUAUCGCACAAUGGGCGCAAGCCUGAUGCAGCGACGCCGCGUGAGGGAUGACGGCCUUCGGGUUGUAAACCUCUUUCAGCACCGACGAAGCGCAAGUGACGGUAGGUGCAGAAGAAGGACCGGCCAACUACGUGCCAGCCGCCGCCGUAA
rnacentral:rRNA from 1 species